UACGGAGGGGGCAAGCGUUGUCCGGACUUACUGGGCGUAAAGGGUGCGUAGGCGGUUGCAUGCGUCCGCGCUGAAAUCCCGAGGCUCAACCUCGGGGCGCGUGCGGAUACGAUGCGACUUGAGGCUCGGAGAGGGUGGGAGAACUCCUGGUGUAGUGGUGAAAUGCGUAGAGAUCGGCAGGAACACCCAGGGGGAAACCAGUCGACUGGGCAUCUACUGACGCUGAGGUGCGAGAGCGUGGGGAGCGAACCGG
rnacentral:rRNA from 1 species